CAAGCUCAUUCUUAUCUCACGUACAGCUAUGCACCGUUCUUCAUCUGACUCUCUCACGGCCACACGUACUCGGUCUCAUCCUGAGCCGUUCUCUACGUGCACUCUUUGCUCUCUCUGACCAACAAGCCAUGUCUCCUCCGCGUUUGGUUCCUGCUGUACGCGCCUCCUCCUUGUUGUCCGUCCAUGGAGCUCGCUCCGGCCUCCUGCUCCCUCAGUCGGCACUGUGCUCGGCUUCCAGCUCAUCAAGCUCAGCCCCCAUGGCCGAGCGCCCUCCCAGCCAUGACCCCCCCGGUGUUUGGCCCUAGUCGCUCGCCCUCAACUGUGCUGCGCCAACGCUCCAGCCAUGGAGUCCCUACGCGCACACCUCCACUCGGAUUUCGCCAAGGCUCGUGCUGUUCCCUGGCGCUUCUUCCUGCGCCGCGCCCCUGGCUCCUCUGUUGGCCGCGCGGCCGUCUCCUGCUCCCUGCUCGCCGAGCUCCUUGUGCAGGCCGCAUUCCUCUACUCGGCCACGGAUGUCACAUUGUCGGCCGCGGCUUUCUCUCUCUACUUCACCUCCCUGUGCGUGGUAGUGCCCCUCUGCUCGCCACGGCGCGUCGAACUCUCGCGCCGAGUCCUUUUCCUGCUCGGCCGCCCGUGUUGCUGUUCUUUGCAUGUGCGCAGCUCCCUGUGCGUCGCUGUCCUCCCUCCCCAACUCCCUCUGGUCCGCGCUUUCUUCAGUUCGGCCAGACAGGACAUCGUUCCCUGCUGCAGUUCGUUGUUGAAUCGCCUGCUCGUUGUCUGUGCCAUCGAAACUUUCCGAGCUGUGCGCUCCUCUGUCCGGACCACCAGCCUACAAUUCCAGUAUUCUCGCCAUUGAAGAAUAGUCGCCGCACUCUGCGUCCUCGCCGUGUUCGUGAAGCUGUCGUGGAGUUGUUGUCAUUUUUCUUCGCGUCGUGUGCACACCACGCCGCCGCCUUCGUAUUUUUGGCAAGCCCCAACGUGCGCUCACGCUCAUCAUCCCCUGUUCGACCUUGUCGUCGAGCUUCGUCUCAGCCUUAGCUUGUCGGUCACGCUCGCCAGAUGUUCGAUCGAGGACUUCAGCUGAAGGCCGUCGUCGUUCAGGCAACUACCAAAUCAAAUUGAGAUGUGGUGAGCCGAUUCGCUAUUUUUACUAUUGGUUUUAUGAUUGUAAAAUAAGACGCAUCGUAUGUGUAUAAGAUUAAGUUAGAAAUACCAGUAAUGCGAAAGGUAGAUUAAAUUAUGUGAUAUUCGGGCGAGCUGAUGACGUAAAAAAAUAGACUAAGUAUUUCUAUCAGCUAGUUGAUAGAUUUUCUAGAGUUAUUAUGUCAAUUUGGGUAAUUGAUGUAGUCGAUACCCUGCUUAAUUAGUUAGUUUAUUCUAGAUUUGGUAUUUAGUUCGAUGUCAUGAGAGAUGUGCAAAUUACCUUGUAUAAUUAACGGUGAAUGGCAUCGACCUAUCUAAUUAGCGUAGAAUUUAAGAUAAUUGAGAAACCCAAUUUAGAAAGUUAGUUAAUAUGCCCCUUACUCUCAAUUGUCGGUAUUCAAAAAUAGUGAAUAAAAAUGUGAUGAGUAAUUUGAUAUUGGGUGUUUUGACAAAAGACUUGUGCUUAACUUAUUAUUGUUUGAUGUUUGAAAUAGAUGUGAUUAUGCUAAAAAAGGUGAUAAUUGGGCAUAGUCGUAUGUCGAUAAAUAGUGUUUUCGUAUGAAAUAGUACGACACUUCAUCACUAAGUUUUUAAUUCUUGUCGGUGUAGUACUAUUUAGAUCUGUGCUAUUUCUGUCUAUAUGCAUUCAUGUGCAUAAUGCAUUUCAUUUAGGUACGUGAAUUAACCACAUGAUGCGGAGAACCAGAACUGAGUCGACCACAAGAUGGUGCUGAUGAACGGAACUGAAGAUGGACAGACGAAACAAGUAUCAGAACAAAAGAUGGUCGUCAAGUGAUCGACGUCUAACAAACACUAACCUAGUGUUACCCAGGCAAGACCCGGUGCAUGCAACCCCUUUCUUAUGUUUUUAAAAGAUUUUUAUACACUUUAAGUCUAGUGAAAUGUGCAUUAAGUUUAUAGGAGUUGCUUGGAAACUAUUGGAUGCAUUGCCUACCUUAAUAUCCAUACCUUUAUAAAUACUUCUGAUGAAGUAUCAAAAUAUGAUUUACAAAAAUGCCUAGCCCUGCUUAAAUCUUGUGGAUAGAGGUUGUCUUUUGCAUUAAUGCCUAGCUCAGGGGUUAUCCUAAGGAAGGACGGCUUCUACCUGCAAGAAUAUUUUCAUUGGGAGCAUGGUGGGAUCUUACUGCAAAGUUCCCUAUAAUGCUCUUUUCAUCCUAAGGAACACAAACAAUCCUAAGGAUGGAAGUACAUAAAUCGGGACUUGGGCUAGGAACAGGUGAUGUUCUACCCAGGUUAAUUAAGGAUUGGAUGUGUAUGUAGGCCUGUUGAUCAAGGACUAUCUUAACUAGCCACAUGCCCUGGAUAUGGCACAGGGUAAGCUUGAACCCAGCUAUUCCAUACAUGAAAAGACAAUCGCGCACUGGGAGUAGAGAGAUGGCGAGAGUGGCACGUACCCUCCUGGCAAAGGAUCGCCUAAAAGGGGUGGUGUGCUCUCGGGUGGCGCGGACCUAUUCAUGCAGUGGAGGAUCCGUGGUAAUGGUAGACAUAUGCAAGAGUUACGAGAAACAUAUGUCGUGUGGUUAGAGAUCCUCAGCUGAGUAAAUCGAUUCGGAUCGCCGUUAUAUCCCCGAAGAGUGGAGACUUGAUCUCCGACCUACAACCUAAGUCAGGAUGUAAACAUUAUGAGUAAAAAAUGAUGUUGUAUUGAUGAGAUGGUGAAAUUAGACUAGGUGCAACCAGAGUCUAUUAAUAUUUAAUCUGGCGUUAAAAUAUUGAAAGUAAGGACUCACUUUAGUAAGCUAGUUCUGCAAAAGUAUCUAAGUUGAUUCUUGCUAAGAGCCUCUUCUUGAUUCCUAAAUCCAGCAUAUCCUUGAGAGUCUUUUUCCUUAGUUGGAUAAGACUUGCGAAAGUACACUUCGUACUCAGGGCUUUGUCCCAUGUUGUUUUAGGUGAAGAGCCUGCGGAGCUUUGCUACUUUUGUGCAAAGGUGGUUCCCAAGUAGAAGGAAGAACCGAAAAUAGAAGUGUGUUGCUGUGGAUGGUGCUAAGUGCCGGUGGGCUCGGUCUUCUUAUAAGUCUAAGUACCUCUUCUAUACUUCUUAUUAAGGAUGGUCACUUAAGCUAGCAUAUAUUUAAAACUUACAAGUAGUUUAUAACAUUUCAAAGUUUAUUUCUUUGAAUCACUUUGUAAUCACUCCGAUAAACAUAAUGUAAAGUUGAUGUAACUUGUAACCUUUUGUAAUAAAGAAAUUCCGCUGCAAAAUGUUGGUGUGUGAUUUGUGUUUACUUAAUCUUGCGGUUCUGGUUGUAAGUGUUUGAUCCGGGGUCCUUGGGACACUCGGACGGAUCCUGUUAAGUUAUUUGGUGCACAUGCAUAGCCGUCUGAGGUCUUUGAGACAAGGAUAGGUGCAUGUGGGCCCAAUAACUUAGGAGGUUCUGCCACAGCUGGUAUCAGAGCAGGAUUAAGUAUAUACGGUCACAUACGUAUUUUCAAAACAAAAGUUUUGGUUUUAUAAAACCUAUUUUCAACUAAACACAAUGUUUGGCUUUGAAAAAUAGUUUUGAAAAAACUAUAAUGCUAGCGACAUCCUCUAUUAAGCCCUAAAUUAAGGACUAUCAAGUGGCUUAGUUGAAAACAAUAACCCAUAACCGGGUGGAUAUUGCAUACAUGUGUAUUGUUAUUUUUGAGGCCAUUCAGUUUUGAAUGGAUUGACACUCGGGUAAGGUGAGAUGUGAGAGCAUGACUGGACAACCAUCGGUCUAGGGAAGAGUAUAAAAUGCGCUUGAUUAUAUACAUGUUCCACAUAUGUAUAUAUGAAGGCUGCGAAGUGGAGUAUUUAAUUUUCUGGGAAUUUAGUACCCCAUGGAUGUGUAUGGGUAUACAUACAUGGGAAUACUGAGAAAUGUAAUGUAUUUGUAACGACGCACCUACGCUCAGGUAAGAAGGUGAGUUACCAUAAUGAGUUGCCCUAUGGUUAAAGUUUAGCAACGACGCCUAUGCGUGGCUCGGCGCUUAAUGAUGAGCUGGCCUCCAUAUAGCAAUAUAUGGAGUAUAAAUUGUGAUAAACUGUCAUGUGUGAAUAGCAUCAUUGGGAAAUUGGGCUGUGAUGGAAUUUUCGGCAGGUACACUAACCUCGAAAACGUAUGUGUAGUUGACGACUAGCAAAAUACCGUGAGAGUCGUAAGUAUGCCACCGAUAUAGAACGCUAUCGCCACAUUAUGUGGGCAAAAUCAGUGAGGACGAAUAAGACGAGCAUGCAUCCUGAUUGUUGCAUCAUGUUUGUCACCUAUACAUCCAAAAUGCUUCUCUCGCCUUUAUUCCAGUAACCAGUGAUUGUAGAUAAUGUGGUGUAAUGUUGUAUUAUGAACUUCAAUGAAAUAGUUGUCCUCUGUUCUUUAGGUAAUCUAUUUAGAUGUUAUACGAGUUAGCUCUUGUACUUGAUGUGCCGAUAGAAUGUUGGUGAUUUGUUUGCCAAAACCCAAAACUAGGCUAGGUUCUUAUUUAGUGAACCAUGACCCAAAGUUGAUUUUUCCAUUAUCACUCCAUGACCAAACACAUAAAAAUAAAUGCCAGAAUAAUUUUUUGUUGGACCUAAAGUGUACCCAGACUUAAAACAAGGAUAUCGAGUCAUGUUUCCUUCCAAAACCAUUCCCUUGUUCGAUUUGUGCAAACUGAUGUCUAUAUUCUACUUUUGUAUCUUCUUGGGGAUCAUGUCGAUACUUUAUCAACUUAACCCAGGAAAGACAUGUCUGAUCAUUUUCUUAAGUUUGAUGCCUUUGGUUUCUUCAUAUCUCUCGAAGGCAUACCAAUUUAAUCUGAUGAUUGUUUUCCCUUUGUAUCUAAUCAGAUGCUAAUCCUUGACCUUGCAAUCUUUGCGAUGGCAUAGAAAUAUGCUUGGGGCUAAAGUAACAGUCUCCCACCGUACUCCUUUCAUCAAUUUAGGUUAUGGCCAUACCUUGUUCAUUUCAUCGGGCCAUGAUCUAUUUGGCUCUCUACUUGUAACCAUUCUUACAGGUGGAGUAUCUCUUUGUAUAUUGUCACCCUUGCUCAAUCCAUUGGUGUUGCGCGAGAUUUUUUAUUGGUUAUGUCUGGUAAUGGUGCUAUGACUAAAACUGAUGGUGCCGUGAUGAAACCGAGGGCCUUCUGUGGGUGCGCACACAUGGUUGUGCUACUCGGCACGGGCUGGUAUCACGGUUAGUAGUUGUAAUCCAUUAUGAGACUAUGUCAAUGCGUUAUCUUGGCACAAUCUGUUUUUGCUACGUGAGAUUGUUAUUGGUGCCAGUUCAGUAAUGGUGUCAUGGUUAAUGACUUAUGGUGCCGCAGCGAAACUGAGAGCCUCCUGUGAAUGCGCACACAGGACUGUGCUACUCGUCGGAUGCUGGUAUCAAGGUCUCUAGUCAUGAUCAGUUAUGGAAUUACACUGAUGUGUUAUCUUCCGUAAACAUUUCCCUUGAAACGAUUUCGGUGUUGUUUGUCAAAGUGACCAAGCAACAUUUAUCAUCUUUGUUGGAUCAAAAGGGCAUACCACUUUUAUGUGUGGUCUCUUUUCUUUUGAUCUCGGUAGUGACUACUCAUACAAGUUCCCUUUACAUCCUUUCUUGUAAAGGUGAAGCCAUCGAGCUUUUUAGUGUUGGAAAACAACUGAUUAGCUCUCAAAAAUAGACAUAUGUUUCCCCUGCUGCUGAGAUGCAGGAGUUUGUUCAUUCGCUCUCUUGUUUAAUUCAUGUAUUCCCUAAGCAAGUCAGUUCAUCUCGCAUGCAGAAACGGAUGAACAACCUAAUCAAAUGGAUUUCUACCCAAGUGCAUGAUCUCCUAUUAAUGAGAAUGAACUCUCAACCCUUGUCUUACCGAUGGUACUGAGAGGACUUGCUCAAUGUCAAAAGUAGUUCAACAAGUUGGUUUUACUAACUUGUAACUGCAUUGUGAACAAAGAUUGAGUUUAGAGAUUGUUUUAUCGAGUUGUCUGAACUCACUUUGGUUCCACCCACCCUAAAGAAAGUACUUACAAGAAUCGGGAUAAAGUCAGACAGUAACCACCUAGUCAUCGCUCUAGUCAUGCCUCGAUUGCCUCACGUGUGCCUUUUCCAACAUGUGUGAUCAGGUCGAGUCAUGCUUAGUGCUUAAAAAAGCGGAUUGAUUGUGAAGCCAACAUUUGUUGAUAAUCUUCACUGAUGUUUCCUCGAGUCUCCAUUAGCACCAUUGGACUUGGAUUUUCUGGCUAAAACGAGUUAACUGUGAUGUUAUUCGACAUUCACACCCAUCUCGUGUGCUACGAACUUACUGUGACCACUUGUUGGUAAACCUCUUUCUAUGUGUUUUACCCAAGAGGUUGCAUCUGAUUCUGUUUGGGUAAAGUCGCAUAUCCACAGCUCGCUCAACAGACUCAGAUAGUACAUUAUCAUCAGAAAAAGCAAACUGCACACAUGGAACCUUAUGUGUUCUUCUGGCAGACAGCGUCUCUAUUGUUGGACAUCUCUAAAAUUAGCCUAAGGCGAUACAUGAUAUGUCCACUAGAGAAACAACCCUCUCAGACACCUGCCUUUGCUUGGAAUUGUCUUAUGAUUACCGCUGAUAUGGACAUGGGUUACACGCUGCUCUACUCUUAAAAGUUUUUCGCUCCGAAUCUCGGGACGAGAUUCUUUUAAGGGGGGAGGGCUGUAACACCCCUGGUGGUUAUAUUCCGCUCGACAACGAGUAUGGAUUUAAGCACGUAAUAUCAGUGGAUAAAACAGAUGCUAAAUUAUUUGUCAUCUUCGCCUAUCACGAUUUUAAUAUCGCAUUUGUUUCUGUCGCGAGUAAAACAUCAUUUUUUUUAUUUUUAUCUAUCCGGGCUCUUCCUGAAUUUUCGUGAUGUUCGGAACAUAGUUCUUCCAAAAAAUCGGCGAGUCUGGUGAUUAUUUAAAAUUCAUCGCUCGCGCAAAGACGAAUUUGAAAAUUUAGUUCAGCCCUCUGAGUUCAUCCCAAACAAAUUAAAUAGAACUCGACGACUAAAGUUUUCGGUGCAAAGUAAUUCAGUCUCCACUCGUCAACUGAGAAUUCGUGUCUAAGGAAUUAUAAUUAAGAUUUAAUUCUCCAAUAAAUCAUCUAUGACAGAGCGAUCAGGUGUUCAAGUGGCAGAUGAAGUUAGCUGAUUUUAAGUCGUAUCAAAUAUAGUUUAAAAUAUCAGGCUCGAUCCCGUUUGGUUUCAUUCUGUUUGCAUCUUAUCCGAACCCGAUAUUAUCCGAGACAAAGAGAUUAGGUUCAAAAUUAUAUUUAGGAUCGCUUGCGUUACCAAGAAAUCGUGCGCAAGAUUAAUAAUUAGGAUUAUUCUUUAGUGUGCUAUUUUAGGUAGAGAAAUUAAAUGGGUUCCGAAAACAGAUAAAUUUUUAUUCAGGCUCAAUCAAAUUAAUAGCGUUAACCCGAUAAUACUUCAGUCUGGUCUUUCAGCAUCGUACCGAAACUCUAAUUCUGAGUCUAAAUAUCUACGUUACUUUUGUUAAAAAUGAAAGGCAGAAAAUCAUUUUUCUCUUCUGUUGGCUUUAUCCAAUCCACCGCUAGCACUGCGUGGCCAAAUCACAGGAUUAGCGUCAUUUUUACUUCCACGCGUCCUUCUCCCAUUCAUACGCCGUUCAACAGAUGGCCAUCUCCUUAGCCUUAUCACUUGGCAUCUAAAAUUCUACAAAAUCGUGCAUAUAUCCUGCCAAGCUCAUUCUUAUCUUACGUACAGCUAUGCACCGUUCUUCAUCUGACUCUCACGGCCUCACGUACUCGGUCUCAUCCUCAGCCGUUCUCUACGUGCACUCUUUGCUCUCUCUGACCAACAAGCCAUGUCUCCUCCGCGUUGUUCCUGCUGUUACGCGCCUCCUCCUUGUUGUCCGUCCAUGAGCUCGCUCCGGCCUCUUGCUCCCUCGGUCGGCACCGUGCUCGGCUUCCAGCUCGUCAAGCUCAGCCCCCAUGGCCGAACGCCCUCCCAGCCAUGACCCCCCGGUGUUUAGCCCUGGUCGCUCGCCCUCAUCUGUGCUGCGCCAACGCUCCAGCCAUGGAGUCCCUACGCGCACACCUCCGCUCGGAUUUCGCCAAGGCCCGCACUGUUCCCUGGCGCUUCUUCCUGCGCCGCGCCCCUGGUCCUCUGUUGGCCGCGCGGCCGUCUCCUGCUCCCUGCUCACCGAGCUCCUUGUGCGGGCCGCAUUCCUCUACUCGGCCACGAAUGUCGCGUUGUCGGCCGCGGCUUUCUCUCUCUACUUCACCUCCCUGUGCGUGGUAGUGCCCCUCUGCUCGC
rnacentral:lncRNA from 1 species